rnacentral:rRNA from 1 species
UAGGGAAUAUUGCGCAAUGGACGAAAGUCUGACGCAGCGACGCCGCGUGUGGGAGGAAGCCUUUCGGGGUGUAAACCACUGUCAGAGGGGAAGAAUCUCGUCGGUCUGAAUAUGGCCGACGGCUGACGGUACCCUCAGAGGAAGCGCCGGCUAACUCCGUGCCAGCAGCCGCGGUAAGACGGAGGGCGCAAGCGUUGUUCGGAAUUACUGGGCGUAAAGGGCGGGCAGGCGGUCCGUUAAGUCUUCUGUGAAAAUCCGGGGCUCAACCCCGUGAAAUGCAGGAGAAACUGGCGGACUAGAGACCGGUAGAGGCUAGCGGAAUUCCUGGUGUAGCGGUGGAAUGCGUAGAUAUCAGGAAGAACACCUGUGGCGAAGGCGGCUAGCUGGGCCGGAUCUGACGCUCAUCCGCGAAAGCGUGGGGAGCAAACAGG